rnacentral:lncRNA from 1 species
CUCUCCUGCACCCUGUCCUUAAGUGCCAGCCAGGAUUCCCAGCCGGACGGGAGCCCAGUCCAGGGUCUGAGUGCAGCUGCCCGUAAGUGACUUUCUGGGAAGAGCUACUUUGGAAUCCAUUUGCUCAUUUUUAAAAUCUUCUUACAUUUAUAACGCUCCUCUUUCCAGGGCAGACAUUCCACACGAUGGCCUCCACGCUGGGAUUAAUGAUCUCUGGUUCUUUAGAUCCCCUUGCGGUCACGUCGUGAAUGAGGAUGGGACUGAUGAGGAAGAGGAUCGCUCUCCGCCAAUCCGGGGGCGAAAUCCUUCACGGCACAAGCAAGUGGAGACUGUGCUUCUGGAGGAUCAGAUGAGGGGCACAUAUGUGACCCAGCGCCGCCGCUCACCUCGGCGGUCCCCCUCAGCUGGCAUGGAUGGACUUUCUCCUCUGGUAUCUGAAAAGGACCUUGAUACUAUUCAGCCCUUGAUCUGCUGCCCUUCCCGUCAGGGCGGAUCAGGCAAGUUUCUGAGCAAAGUGACCCGGCGCAAGGAUCGGCCUCAGCGGGACAAUUCGGACAGCGACACUGACCAGGCAGAGACCUCGGCUAAGGACACUGGAUAAAUCUGGCCUGGACUCACUCUAUUCAGAGAGAGGAUGAUAAACACAAAACUCUUUGAACCCAUUCUUCUCCAAAACUUGGAGGAGGAAAGGAUUGUGCACCUGUCAGCCAUUAACUAUCCAGCGCAACAACGCAGUGAGCGUUGGGGUGACCAAGGGAAUAGGUGCAAAGCACUGCUGUAAUGUGAGUCGCCUCCUGGAUAAACUUCAGACCUGAUCCAUGAAGGGAUGAGAUGAAAAAAUCAUUCAUCAGCAAAGGUUGCCACCUCUUCCACACAUAUAUAUAAAUACAUAAAAUCUAAAUAAAACAAUGUUGGCUAUUGCUCUUUUACA